rnacentral:rRNA from 1 species
CUACGGGCGGCUGCAGUGGGGGAUAUUGCACAAUGGGCGAAAGCCUGAUGCAGCAACGCCGCGUGAAGGAAGACGGAUUUCGGUCUGUAAACUUCUAUCAGCUGGGAAGAAAAUGACGGUACCAGACUAAGAAGCCCCGGCUAACUACGUGCCAGCAGCCGCGGUAAUACGUAGGGGGCAAGCGUUAUCCGGAUUUACUGGGUGUAAAGGGUACGUAGGCGGUCGCUUAAGUCAGAUGUGAAAGCCCGAAGCUCAACUUCGGGACUGCAUUUGAAACUGGGUGACUAGAGUACAGGAGAGGAAAGCGGAAUUCCUAGCGUAGCGGUGAAAUGCGUAGAUAUUAGGAAGAACACCAGUGGCGAAGGCGGCUUUCUGGACUGUAACUGACGCUGAGGUACGAAAGCGUGGGGAGCGAACAGGAUUAGAUACCCCGGUAGUC